UGCUUAACUGCGCAGGAAAAACAAAAAUCUUUCACACCUGUUUUACUUAAUUUGAUAUAUUGCUUUGGUUUGGCUUAGAAAUAAGCUGGGCCAGAGGUUUUAAACUAACAUUCUUUAUUGAAUAUUUUUAUUUUUAAUUUUACCAGUCAAUAGUUUUUUAAUUAAUAAUUUAAAACUUUCAACAACGGAUCUCUUGGUUCUCGCAUCGAUGAAGAACGCAGCGAAAUGCGAUACGUAAUAUGAAUUGCAGAUUUUCGUGAAUCAUCGAAUCUUUGAACGCACAUUGCGCCCUUUGGUAUUCCAAAGGGCAUGCCUGUUUGAGCGUCAUUUCUCUCUCAAAUCCUUGGAUUUGGUAUUGAGUGAUACAUCAAAAUCUUUUGGCGUUAACUUGAAAUAUAGUGGUGGUUAACCGAAAGGAAGCGAGUUCUUUUUUAAUUCUCAAUGUAUUAGGUUUAUCCAACUCGUUGAGUGAAGAAUUUGAAUAAUUUUGGAAUUGAUCGCCUUAUAAACAUUUCUAAGUUUGACCUCAAAUCAGGUAGGACUACCCGCUGAACUUAAGCAUAU
rnacentral:rRNA from 1 species